rnacentral:sRNA from 1 species
UCGAAAACAUUCACGAUCCUCAACUCAUC